CCUACGGGAGGCAGCAGUGAGGAAUAUUGGUCAAUGGGCGCGAGCCUGAACCAGCCAAGUAGCGUGAAGGAUGACUGCCCUACGGGUUGUAAACUUCUUUUAUAAAGGAAUAAAGUGUGGCACGUGUGCCUUUUUGUAUGUACUUUAUGAAUAAGGAUCGGCUAACUCCGUGCCAGCAGCCGCGGUAAUACGGAGGAUCCGAGCGUUAUCCGGAUUUAUUGGGUUUAAAGGGAGCGUAGAUGGGUUGUUAAGUCAGUUGUGAAAGUUUGCGGCUCAACCGUAAAAUUGCAAUUGAUACUGGUAGGCUUGAGUACAGUUGAGGUAGGCGGAAUUCGUGGUGUAGCGGUGAAAUGCUUAGAUAUCACGAAGAACUCCGAUUGCGAAGGCAGCUUACUAAGCUGUCACUGACAUUGAUGCUCGAAAGUGUGGGGAUCAAACAGGAUUAGAUACCCCGGUAGUC
rnacentral:rRNA from 1 species